rnacentral:rRNA from 1 species
GACGAACGCUGGCGGCGUGCUUAACACAUGCAAGUCGAACGGAAAGGCCCUGCUUUUGUGGGGUGCUCGAGUGGCGAACGGGUGAGUAACACGUGAGUAACCUGCCCUUUACUUUGGGAUAACUUCAGGAAACUGGGGCUAAUACCGGAUAGGAGCUCCUGCUGCAUGGUGGGGGUUGGAAAGUUUCGGCGGUUGGGGAUGGACUCGCGGCUCAUCAGCUUGUUGGUGGGGUAGUGGCUUACCAAGGCUUUGACGGGUAGCCGGCCUGAGAGGGUGACCGGCCACAUUGGGACUGAGAUACGGGCCAGACUCAUACGGGAGGCAGCAGUGGGGGAUAUUGCGCAAUGGGCGGAAGCCUGAUGCAGCAACGCCGCGUGCGGGAUGACGGCCUUCGGGUUGUAAACCGCUUUCGCCUGUGACGAAGCGUGAGUGACGGUAAUGGGUAAAGAAGCACCGGCUAACUACGUG